AACGAACGCUGGCGGCAUGCCUAACACAUGCAAGUCGAACGAGACCUUCGGGUCUAGUGGCGCACGGGUGCGUAACGCGUGGGAAUCUACCCUUGGGUUCGGAAUAACAGUUAGAAAUGACUGCUAAUACCGGAUGAUGACGUAAGUCCAAAGAUUUAUCGCCCAAAGAUGAGCCCGCGUAAGAUUAGCUUGUUGGUGGGGUAAUGGCCUACCAAGGCGACGAUCUUUAGCUGGUCUGAGAGGAUGAUCAGCCACACUGGGACUGAGACACGGCCCAGACUCCUACGGGAGGCAGCAGUGGGGAAUAUUGGACGAUGGGCGAAAGCCUGAUCCAGCAAUGCCGCGUGAGUGAUGAAGGCCUUAGGGUUGUAAAGCUCUUUUACCAGGGAUGAUAAUGACAGUACCUGGAGAAUAAGCUCCGGCUAACUCCGUGCCAGCCGCCGCGGUAA
rnacentral:rRNA from 1 species